AGAUUAUUACUACAUUAUGUUUGCGAACGAGGAAACUGAUGUUUUCUGUUACACAAGUAAAGAUUUAUGGAGGCAACGAAAUGCAUGGUGGUUAAUAGAAUUACCAGAAUCUUUGCUUGAAGAUUCCAUGCAGAAAUAUACUACAAUGUGUGAUGAUGACACGUCAAGGGUAUUAUUUUAUUUAAAAAAUGGCUCAAAUUCCUCCAAUCAUAUAACAUUUAGUAUUUCUGUUAACGAUAUCAAUAUUAUAAAACUUCAAAAAAUUUCGACAAGCCUUUUACUAGGCUCCCUUGUCCCUUGUUCCUACAUUCAAUGGAAGCCGGAAAACACUUAUUCGAUUUCGUCUAACACACGACCAAAGGAAAAGCAAGAUUUGAUACUUUUGGGUGAAAAACAUAAUAUAUUAAUAGUGGAACCAACUUUUCCACGUUUCGAUCCUUUGUUUAAUGUAUCACAAGUGUGUUUGAAAACAUUUCAUGAGCUUUCAGAGGAAACUCAGGCUUCGGUCCAACAACUACAAGCAGUACUAUUAUUCAGUACAUUCUGCUACUAUCCAUUCAAAAAGCAAUGGGUAUUUAUUUCAAAUCAAGUUUUAUUUUCGUUUCUUAUGCCUUUUUUACUACUUUUGCGACGCAAAGCAAUUAGUAUUACGCGCAUACCAUGGUCUGAUCUUUACCAGUGCGCUCAGCAAAGUGCUGAAAGUGUCUCUAAAAAUCUUGGUCUUUAUGUCAAAAAUUCUCCAUUGUUUGCUCUACAAUUAAUUUUUUUUUUUUGUGAUACCAUCGACAUUUCUAAAGAUUCUAUUUUUUUACCCGAUUAUUUCAAACUACAAGAUUAUGCGAUAUCAGACGCUUUUAAUCUGUAUAUAAAUACAUUCAAUGAUGACAAGUUGUUUGAAGAAAUUUCGUUAAUGUUUGAACUUAAUGUACAUAAAGUGUGCCGAAUUGUUUUACGUUCUCAACUUACUAUACUAUCCCCAACUCAUACCAGUGCUUUUUUGGCAUCAUGUGUCUCUUGGUUUUGCGAAUAUUUGCCGCCUGAUUUACUUGAAAAUGAUCCUCUUUGGUCCUCACCUUAUAAUCAUUCAUGUUUUAGAGGAGAUUGUUGGAUGGAUAAUACGAAUGCGACAUUGCAAAAUUCGGAACCUUUACCUGAAUUAUUUCACAGCAUUACAUUCAACGAGUUUUCUUUAAAAGUAAAACCAAAAUUAAAUCCAUCAAUAAGUGAGGACGUCUCCGAUACAAAACUUUAUAGCUACAUCAACGCGCAUCUUAUAAAUAUAUCUUACCUAUCUGGCUUUAUGAUUUCUAAAGAGCAAACUUUGUUUAUAGCUCCACAUUAUUAUCUUUCCUGGGACUGGCGUAAACGAAUUCAAUUUUUUUAGACUUUAUAUCAGUACAAACCUCUUUGGAAUUUGAUAGAGUUAGACACGUAUAUAUCCCCUUUACGGUAUCUUGCUAAAAUGAGUUCGUAUACGAUUCCCUCUAUUGGGGAAAUUGCCAGCAAUUACUUAUUGAAAUCCCAACAUGUCGACGCCUUGGGAAACAUAUUAUAUAUGAACGUUAGACUUUUCAUUGCUUAGAUAUCAGAAGCGUUUUAACUUUUUCAAAGUUGCUAGUUUCAAUUUUUGAGGAACAGGGUUUACGGGAAAAGGCGCCGAAAAUCAGUUUCAUUUAGUUUUUUUACAAGAAAUUUGUUUUAUACAACAAUCUUUUGCAGAAACACUUU